CAAUAGCGUAUAUUUAAGUUGUUGCAGUUAAAAAGCUCGUAGUUGGAUUUCGGAUGGGAUUUGCCGGUCCGUCGUUACGAUGUGCACUGGCCAGUCCUAUCUUGUUGUCGGGGACUAGCUCCUUGGAUUCACUUCCUGGGACUAGGAGCUGACGAGGUUACUUUGAGUAAAUUAGAGUGUUCAAAGCAAGCCUACGCUCUGAAUACAUUAGCAUGGAAUAACACGAUAGGACUCUGGCUUAUCUUGUUGGUCUGUGAGACCAGAGUAAUGAUUAAGAGGGACAGUCGGGGACAUUCGUAUUUCAUUGUCAGAGGUGAAAUUCUUGGAUUUAUGAAAGACGAACUUCUGCGAAAGCAUUUGUCAAGGAUGUCUUCAUUAA
rnacentral:rRNA from 1 species